UUUCUCUAUAAUUUUUCAAAAAGUAGUACCGAGGAGGUAAUCUGGUUUUUGUUUGUCUCUAUCUUUCUCUACCGAGGUCAGUACGUCAGAGCUGUCUUUCUACAUUUAUGCUUCGUACUUCCUAGAAAUCUCAUGAUCUUCCUAUGCAUGCAGAGGGAAGAAGCAGUAUGAACCACCUAGGUACAUGACAAUAAAGACUGCCAUUGAGCAGCUCCUGGAAGUUGUGCAAGCAAAAGUAGAAUCUGUCUGCAAUGAAGACACGGAGUGUGUUGGUUUUGCUAGAAUUGGAAGUGAAGAUUAGAUCAUUGUGGCUGGUACAAUGAAGCAACUUCAAUUGCAUAUUUUUUUCCUAUCAAAUAGUACUGUAGGAGUGUGCAACUACUCAAAUUUUGACAUGUUAUUAUGUAAAAAAUUAAACUCUUCAAUAUUUUGUGCUGAAAGUAGUAACUUUUCAAUAUGUUGAAUAUUUAAGACUACUUGAAUACUUAAAGAACAUUUUGUUGUU